CACGUAGGGGGCAAGCGUUGUCCGGAUUUAUUGGGCGUAAAGAGCUCGUAGGCGGCUUAGUAAGUCGGGGUGUGAAACCUCCAGGCUCAACCUGGGAGACGCCACCCGAUACUGCUAUGGCUAGAGUCCGGUAGGGGAGCGUGGAAUUCCUGGUGUAGCGGUGAAAUGCGCAGAUAUCAGGAGGAACACCGGUGGCGAAGGCGGGUCUCUGGGCCGUAAC
rnacentral:rRNA from 1 species